AUUGAACGCUGGCGGCAUGCUUUACACAUGCAAGUCGGACGCGUGGCGAACGGGUGAGUAACAUAUCGGAACGUACCGAGUAAUGGGGGAUAACUAAUCGAAAGAUUAGCUAAUCCCGCAUAUUAUUCGAGCGGCCGAUAUCUGAUUAGCUGGUUGGUGGGGUAAAGGCCUACCAAGGCGACGAUCAGUAGCGGAUCUGAGAGGAUGAUCCGACACACUGGGACUGAGAAACGGCCCAGACUCCUACGGGAGGCAGCAGUGUGGAAUGUUGGACAAUGGGCAGAAGCCUGAUCCAGCCGUGCCGAGUGUCUGAAGAAGGCAUUAGGGUUGUAAAGGACGUUUGUCAGGGAAGCGGUACCUGAAGAAUAAGCACCGGCUAACUACGUGCCAGCAGCCGGGGUAAUAC
rnacentral:rRNA from 1 species